rnacentral:rRNA from 1 species
CAGCGCCAUGAGUGGCAAUCGUCAUUAUUGGGCCUAAAGCGUCCGUAGCCUGUUUAGUCCGUCUUUUGUGAAAUCGUUUAGCUUAACUAAACGUUGUGCAAAAAAUACUGCUAAACUUGAAACCGGGAGGAGUCAGAGGUAUUUUAAGGGGAGCGGUAAAAUGCUAUAAUCCUUGGAAGACCACCUGUGGCGAAGGCAUCUGACUAGAACGGCUUUGACGGUGAGGGACGAAAGCUAAGGGAGCGAACCGGAUUAGAUACCCGCGUAGUCC